rnacentral:rRNA from 1 species
AGAGCGAACGCUGGCGGCAGGCCUAACACAUGCAAGUCGAGCGCCCCGCAAGGGGAGCGGCAGACGGGAGAGUAACACGUGGGAACGUACCCUUUGGUUCGGAACAACACAGGGAAACUUGUGCUAAUACCGGAUAAGCCCUUACGGGGAAAGAUUUAUCGCCAAAGGAUCGGCCCGCGUCUGAUUAGCUUGUUGGUGAGGUAACGGCUCACCAAGGCUACGAUCAAUAGCUGGUCUGAGAGGAUGAUCAGCCUCACUGGGACUGAGACACGGCCCAGACUCCUACGGGAGGCAGCAGUGGGGAAUAUUGGACAAUGGGCGCAAGCCUGAUCCAGCCAUGCCGCGUGGAUGAUGAAGGCCCUAGGGUUGUAAAGUCCUUUCGACGGGAAGAUAAUGACGGUACCCGUAGAAGAAGCCCCGGCUAACUUCGUGCCAGCAGCCGC